rnacentral:rRNA from 1 species
GACGAACGCUGGCGGCGUGCUUAACACAUGCAAGUCGAACGGAAAGGCCCUGCUUUUGUGGGGUGCUCGAGUGGCGAACGGGUGAGUAACACGUGAGUAACCUGCCCUUGACUUUGGGAUAACUUCAGGAAACUGGGGCUAAUACCGGCUAGGAGCUCCUGCUGCAUGGUGGGGGUUGGACAGUUUCGGCGGUUGGGGAUGGACUCGCGGCUUAUCAGCUUGUUGGUGGGGUAGUGGCUUACCAAGGCUUUGACGGGUAGCCGGCCUGAGAGGGUGACCGGGCACAUGGGGACUGAGGUAGGGCCCAGACGGCUACGGGAGGCAGCAGGGGGGAAUAUUGCACAAUGGGCGGAAGCCUGAUGCAGCAACGCCGCGUGCGGGAUGACGGCCUUCGGGUUGUAAACCGCUUUCGCCUGUGACGAAGCGUGAGUGACGGUAAUGGGUAAAGAAGCACCGGCUAACUACGUG